AACGAACGCUGGCGGCAUGCCUAACACAUGCAGGUCGAACGAGACCUUCGGGUCUAGUGGCGCACGGGUGCGUAACGCGUGGGAACCUGCCCUUAGGUUCGGAAUAACUCCCCGAAAGGGGUGCUAAUACCGGAUAAUGUCUUCGGACCAAAGAUUUAUCGCCUUUGGAGGGGCCCGCGUUGGAUUAGCUAGUUGGUAGGGUAAAAGCCUACCAAGGCGACGAUCCAUAGCUGGUCUGAGAGGAUGAUCAGCCACACUGGGACUGAGACACGGCCCAGACUCCUACGGGAGGCAGCAGUGGGGAAUAUUGGACAAUGGGCGAAAGCCUGAUCCAGCAAUGCCGCGUGAGUGAUGAAGGCCUUAGGGUUGUAAAGCUCUUUUACCCGGGAUGAUAAUGACAGUACCGGGAGAAUAAGCUCCGGCUAACUCCGUG
rnacentral:rRNA from 1 species